ACGAUUGAUUCUGCCUUUGCGACCAGUGCAGAUCAUGAUCAGCCUGCACAUCCGUGCAGUCUGAUCAUGACCUGCACUGUUCGCCAUUCAGUCAAUAUCUUUUUGGUAUGCACCCAUUUUAACAGUUAAUGGUACUGUCCAAAUUGAAAGAUGGACAAGUAUUAUAGAAAUUUAGCAGGGUAAGAGUUAACUCAGCAGGGAACUGAAACAAGGUCAGAAACUUAACCGUUAUUUUUGCCCGAAACUGCAUUUAUUUUUACAAAAACAACUUUUAGAAAAAACCUUUAUAUUCAUCAUACCCUGCUAGAAGGCCUGUAUUUAUAUCUCAAAACAGUUAUUUUCUCUUGAAUAAAAUAACUUCAGGACAAGCAGUUUACGACGUUCCCACUACAGAACAGAACAGAACACAACUUUAUUAACACAAAUCAUAUACAUGACAUGAGUAUAUACAGUGAAAAUAAUAAUGUUUCAAAUAUUUUGUGACAUGGUAUAGGUGUGUAUAAAAAAAUUUAAGUAAACUUUGUAUGUGAUUACAAAAGGUAGAGAUAAAGAAAACAAAAAAAAAGUAACUAGAUUGAAAAAGGAGGGAAAAGGGGGAGAAAACUUUAUGUUAUCAUUUAUAUCAAUUAAAAAAUAUAUUAAACAGUUUUUAUGCCCCCGCACAUUUAUGUGGGGGCAUAUAGCGUUGCUGCUAUCCGUACGUCCCGAAAUCUUGUAUGUCCAACUCCUCCCACACUAUUAGCCUGAUUUGAUUCAAACUUUCACAGAUAAACAAGCUCGAUAUGUAGAUGACCAUAAAGGAAUGAUUUUUUUCUGUGAAUAUUUUUACCGCAUGAUAGUUUUUGAUAUAUGGAAUAUAGAGGAAAAAAUUGUGUGUCCAACUCUUCCCACACUAGUAGCCUGAUUUGCUACAAACUUUCACAGAUGAACACGCUUGAUGUGCAAGCUGACAAUAAAGGAAGAAAUUUUUUCUGUGACUAUUAUUACUGUAGUUAUGGCCCUUUGAUAGUUUUUGCUAUAUGGAAUAUAGAGAAAAUAUUUGUGUGUCCAACACUUCCCACACUAUUAGCCUGAUUUGCUUCAAACUUUCACAGAUGAACAAGCUUGAUGUUCAGAUGGCCAUAAAGGAAGGAUUUCUUUCUGUCAAUAUAUUUACUGCAGUUGUGGCCCUUUGAUAGUUUUUUGCUACAUAGAUGAUGACACAGUAUGUGGGGGCAUCUGUGUCCUAUGGGCACACUUUUUAGGGGUUUUUUUCUACAAAGUUUUUGCAGACUGCAAAGUGGGGGAAAUAAUCACUGUAUUGGUAAAAACACUUUCAAUAAUAAUACAUAAUAUAGGAAAAAUGACCAUACCACAUAACGACCAUUUUUGCUGCAGAUGAACUGAGAAAGAAAGAACAGUCUUGGUAAAGGGUCACCUAACUUAAGGAUUAUUUCUGUGAAAUAAUUUUGAAAUUAAGUCAAUGGUUUCUGACACAAAUAUUUGUUUAAUUGUUUAAUAUUUUCUUUAUCCGUUGCCAUAGCAACCAGAGUUCUAUAUAGAAUGCAUUUCUUUGAAUACAUUUGGGAAAGAAUCAUCCAAGAAACAUUCAUGGAUACAUUGAUAAACUUCCACCAACUGAUUUCAGAGAGUUUGACGGGCUCACCUUUCGGACAAACGGGCGGACAGGUGAGUCACAAGAGUGGCCAGAACAGCUAAAAAUGCAUUCUACACGUCGUCUCAUUUAAUAAGUAUUUGUGUUAUGUUUUCUUAAAAUCCAUCAAAGUGGUAAAAAGAUGAAGAGCGGGAAUGUUUUCGUAGCGGACGGACAGUUUCGCACGAAUUAGUUUAUGGAAUAUUUUCAUACUUUCCUAUACAUCAUAUAUUUUGAACAUUAAUAAACGAUUGAAACCGUGAUACGCCAUCUUGUUCACACCGAAACCACAUUUUCCGCAUAAACGAUCAACAUGCAGACAAUAAACGUAGAGCAACAACAUAGAUAAUACAAAAGAUUAAAACAUGGCACAAUGAACAUUUGUUAUUUUAUGUUAUUACCUGCUUCUGUCACACACGAUAGAAAAUUUGCUUUGUUUUCUUCUCCUCACUUUGAACAGCACAGCCGCCACGUGGUAUUACAUUAUACAUAAACAAUAGAAAUGAACUUUAGAUCUUUGUUUUAAAGCAAUACAAAACAAUCAGAGAAUAUUUUUUCACAGAGAAGAAAAGUAUGCUCAUAAUCGCUGCCUAGUGUUCUCAAUUUUUCAUUACGCAGACAUGCAUUAGAGAGUUAAGUGUAAUUACAUGAUUAAACAUUUUAGUCAUACGCAAAAAAGAAUAUUUUUUUUUUGCUAUGUUUUCUUGUACCGUAAACUUCUCUUUAUUUAAGAAAUCAUUUAUUGCAAAACCGUGUUUUAACACUAUUUAUACACCAUGAGCGCUUAUACGUCGGGCGUAAUAAAAAUCACGAGGGCGCAGUCCGAGUGAAAUUAUUUCGUACGACGUAUAACCGACCGAAUGUAUAAACAGUGUUCAAAUACGGUUUUACUAUAAAUUAUUUCGAUUCUAGAAUGUCUUUUAUUGUAAAAUUUAGAUCAAAUAUGAUGGAACUGUUUCUUCGCGCAUGCAUGGCGCCAAAUGGUUGGUCGUCACUCUCCUUUGGUUAUAUGUCUUGCGGAAGAGUUCAAUUUGGGCGAAAAUGAUGGCGAAUUAUAACCAACUCGGUCGAUUGUGAAGCAAGUUCUACAACUUAUACAAAUCACUUUCAACACCUCAUUCCUGAUGGAUUCCAUUGCCACGAGGGUAUGAGAGAAAAGAAGCCAGUUUCCCUUUCAAUGCUAAGUGCCAAGCAAGGGAGCUACUGGUACCAUUUUUCACGUCUUUGGUAUGACGCGGCCGGGGAUCGAACCCACGACCUCCCGCACUUGAAGCGGACGCUCUAGCAAUAGGCUAUCGAGGCGGUAACCUAAGUCUAUCGAGGCGGUAACCUAAGUGUUGAAGUAGAGCGUCUUUCUGACAUAUAAAGAACGGUGUUUACUUGUAGUGGUAAACAUAAUGCCCAAAUUUGCAGGGUAGCCUCACUGGAAUAUCACGCUAUAGACACUAAAGUACCAUUUUUCACGUCUUCGGUAAGGCGCGGACAGACCUCCUGCACAAGAAGUGGGCGCUCUACCACUAAGCUGCAGAUGCGGUUUUAUUCAUGUUAGUAGUUCCUUCAAGACUUUGUAUUUGGUUUUGCUUAUUCCUGCAUGGAUUUCAAACCAGUGCCAUGACACUUGAAGACUUUGACACUGACCAAGUUUAAUAUUUGUCCAGAUUUUCAGUAAAAGUUAUUUUCAUUGAAGCUUUUAAUAAUUGAAGACAUUGUAAUAAAGUUUUACGAAGAUCA